rnacentral:rRNA from 1 species
UACGGAGGGUGCAAGCGUUGUCCGGAAUCACUGGGCGUAAAGGGCGCGUAGGUGGUGGCUUAAGCGUGCGGUGAAAGCUCGGGGCUCAACUCCGAGUCGGCCGUGCGAACUGGGCUCACUGGAGCAUAGUAGAGGCAGGUGGAAUUCCGGUGGAGCGGUGAAAUGCGUAGAGAUCGGAAAGAACACCAACGGCGAAAGCACUCUGCUGGGCCGACACUGACACUGAGAGACGAAAGCUAGGGGAGCGAGUGGG